CCCACCUGCCUCGACUUCCAUUAAAAGCAGCUACUAAGACUAAAGAAAGAGGGAAAGACUGAGGGGGGGUGGCAAAUAAAUAAAUAAGAGCGAGAGCGAGGGGGAAGGGGAGCGGAGGGAGAGCCGGAGCGCCCGGGACUCGCGACGGCGGCAGGUUCAAUUAGCUAAACAAAGAAAUCAUGGCGGAUUGUUUACAUUUGGCAGCGCCCGGGCCCGCCGACCGGCCGCCCCCAGCAGCCGCGGGCCCCGAGGAGUCGGCCGAGCUGCCCCCGCGCCCUGGCCGGAUUCUGUGAGGAUGCUGUCUGCCACGUUGGGAGUUACCAAUUUGGGCUUCUUCCAGGAGCUGAAAACCGAUUACAAAUACGAAACAGAUUUUACUACUGGACUUGAACUCCAUGUUAAAGAAAAAAAAAAAAGCUUCUCAAAAUAAUUGAAAAAGAUCUUCACCAAAGAGUAGCUGCAAUGUGAAUGGUAGGAUAUCAAGGAAGUAAAUGGUAAAUAUUGAAUGAAAACAGCUUUGCUUCAUGGCCAGACAUACAGAAAAAUAUCCUUCUAGGCUUAAGGCAGCAUUUCUCCUCAGGUGAAGGUCAGAGGAUGGAGGAUCUUUACUUAUCAACAAAAAUAUAAAAUGACCCAGGCUCUUUGAUCCCUCAGCCUAUCUGUCCAACUAUUAAUUACUGAAAUGUUGCAGAAUACUGGAUUCUUUAUUUAAAAAACAUCAGUUGGAGAAGCAGGCUUGCUUAGUAAAGGAAAUGUCUUCCACAAAAACACCUGUGGGGUUAUUUGACAAUUUCUGAUGCUUCAGAAAUUUUGGUGCACCACCAUCUUGAAAACCUAUUUCUGGAUGACAAGGUAUCAGUUAAGGGGCAAAAGGCCAUAAAGCUCUUACACCCUAUUCAUCUUGAUGUUGGAAAAAA